rnacentral:rRNA from 1 species
UGCUUAUAUCAUAUCAUUAAUGCACCAGAUCCCAUUAAAACUCCAGAAUUAAGAACGCUUAGGCUAGAGUAGUAUUGGGAUGGGUGACUGCUCAAGAAGUCCUAGUAUUUUAAAUGC